rfam:Chrysochromulina sp. CCMP291 CAF.Contig9355, whole genome shotgun sequence.
GUAAAAAUAGUUUAAUGGUUAGAAUUUCCGUUUGUGGUACAGAAGAUAAAGGUUCAAUUCCUUUUUUUUACC